rnacentral:rRNA from 1 species
GGUGAACGCUGGCGGUAGGCCUAACACAUGCAAGUCGAACGGCAGCACAGGAGAGCUUGCUCUCUGGGUGGCGAGUGGCGGACGGGUGAGGAAUACAUCGGAGUCUACUCUGUCGUGGGGGAUAACGUAGGGAAACUUACGCUAAUACCGCAUACGACCUACGGGUGAAAGCAGGGGAUCUUCGGACCUUGCGCGAUUGAAUGAGCCGAUGUCGGAUUAGCUAGUUGGCGGGGUAAAGGCCCACCAAGGCGACGAUCCGUAGCUGGUCUGAGAGGAUGAUCAGCCACACUGGAACUGAGACACGGUCCAGACUCCUACGGGAGGCAGCAGUGGGGAAUAUUGGACAAUGGGCGCAAGCCUGAUCCAGCCAUACCGCGUGGGUGAAGAAGGCCUUCGGGUUGUAAAGCCCUUUUGUUGGGAAAGAAAUCCAGCUGGCUAAUACCCGGUUGGGAUGACGGUACCCAAAGAAUAAGCACCGGCUAACUUCGUGCCAGCCGCCGCGGUAA